UACGAAGGGGGCUAGCGUUGCUCGGAAUGACUGGGCGUAAAGGGCGCGUAGGCGGAUGGCUUUGUCGGGCGUGAAAUUCCAGGGCUUAACCUUGGGGGCUGCGUUCGAGACGGGUUGUCUUGAGUGGGGAAGAGGGUCGUGGAAUUCCCAGUGUAGAGGUGAAAUUCGUAGAUAUUGGGAAGAACACCGGUGGCGAAGGCGGCGACCUGGUCCUUUACUGACGCUGAGGAGCGAAAGCCAGGGGAGCAAACGGG
rnacentral:rRNA from 1 species